AUUGAACGCUGGCGGCGUGCCUAACACAUGCAAGUCGAGCGGUAACAGGUGUAGCAAUACAUGCUGACGAGCGGCGAACGGGUGAGUAAUGCUUCGGAAUCUACCCAAUGGUGGGGAAUAACCAGCCGAAAGGCUGGCUAAUACCGCAUACGUCCCACGGGAGAAAGCAGGGGAUCGCAAGACCUUGCGCCAAUGGAUGAGCCGAAGUCGGAUUAGCUAGNGGUAGGGUAACGGCCUACCAAGGCGACGGUCCGUAGCUGGUCUGAGAGGACGACCAGCCACACUGGGACUGAGACACGGCCCAGACUCCUACGGGAGGCAGCAGUGGGGAAUAUUGGACAAUGGGGGAAACCCUGAUCCAGCGACGCCGCGUGUGUGAAGAAGGCCUGCGGGUUGUAAAGCAC
rnacentral:rRNA from 1 species